CGGGGUGAGUAAUGUCUGGGAAACUGCCUGAUGGAGGGGGAUAACUGCUGGAAACGGUAGCUAAUACCGCAUAACGUCGCAAGACCAAAGAGGGGGACCUUCGGGCCUCUUGCCAUCGGAUGUGCCCAGAUGGGAUUAGCUAGUAGGUGGGGUAACGGCUCACCUAGGCGACGAUCCCUGCUGGUCUGAGAGGAUGGCCAGCCACACUGGAACUGAGACACGGUCCAG
rnacentral:rRNA from 1 species